rnacentral:rRNA from 1 species
UAUGUGAUCGUCUCUCGCAUAUCAAUAAGCGGAGGAAAAGAAACUAACGAGGAUUCCCCUAGUAACGGCGAGUGAAGCGGGAAGAGCUCAAAUUUGAAAUCUUAAAGGGUUUCCCUUUACGAAUUGUAGUUUAAAGAAGUGUUUUCUGUUGAGGUUUUGGUAAAAGUUCUUUGGAAUAGGACAUCAUAGAGGGUGAGAAUCCCGUAUUUGACCUUUACUUUCAACUUUGUGAUACACUUUCAAAGAGUCGGAUUGUUUGGGAAUGCAGUCCAAAAUGGGUGGUAAAUUUCAUCUAAAGCUAAAUAUUGGCGAGAGACCGAUAGCGAACAAGUACCGUGAGGGAAAGAUGGAAAGAACUUUGAAAAGAGAGUUAAACAGUACGUGAAAUUGUCAAAAGGGAAGCGUUUGACAUCAGUGUUGUUUUUCUGAAAAUCAAUUAAAGAACUGUUUAUGCUAAGUUGUUUAGACUUUAUCAGCUAUCUGUUUAGUUUUAGGCUUUUCUUUAAUGCACUUUUCAGUUAACAAGUCAACAUCAAUUUCUUUUGCUGUAAAAAAGCUUGAGGAAGGUGGCUUGAGAUUCGUCUUAAGUGUUUAUAGCCUCUUGCCUAUGCAGUCGGAGAGAUUGAGGUCUGCAGCGUAGAUCCUUCGGGGCUAAAUGCAUUUGUGCUAAGUUAUAGCAUUUUAUAGACAACUUGUUGACUAUGAUUUGUCUUGUAGCUUACUCGCUUAUGUUAUUUUACCUACGCUUAGGAUGUUGAUCUACAGAGCGAGAGU